GCAGGUGCGGCAUGCUACCAUGGCAGUCGAGCGAACACUUUAAUUCGAUUCUUCGGAUGAAGAUUUUUGUGACUGAGCGGCGGACGGGUGAGUAACGCGUGGGCAACCUGCCUUACACAGGGGGAUAACAGUUAGAAAUGACUGCUAAUACCGCAUAAGACCGCAGUACCGCAUGGUACAGCGGUAAAAACUCCGGUGGUGUAAGAUGGGCCCGCGUCUGAUUAGGUAGUUGGUGGGGUAACGGCCUACCAAGCCGACGAUCAGUAGCCGACCUGAGAGGGUGACCGGCCACAUUGGGACUGAGACACGGCCCAGACUCCUACGGGAGGCAGCAGUGGGGAAUAUUGCACAAUGGGGGAAACCCUGAUGCAGCGACGCCGCGUGAGCGAUGAAGUAUUUCGGUAUGUAAAGCUCUGUCAGCAGGGAAGAAGAAUGACGGUACCUGAAGAAGAAGCACCGGCUAAAUACGUGCCAGCAGCCGCGGUAAUACGUAUGGUGCAAGCGUUAUCCGGAUUUACUGGGUGUAAAGGGAGCGCAGGCGGUUCUGCAAGUCUGAUGUGAAAGCCCGGGGCUCAACCGCGGGACUGCAUUGGAAACUGCGGGACUGGAGUGUCGGAGGGGUAAGCGGAAUUCCUGGUGUAGCGGUGAAAUGCGUAGAUAUCAGGAGGAACACCGGUGGCGAAGGCGGCUUACUGGACGAUGACUGACGCUGAGGCUCAAAAGCGUGGGGAGCAAACAGGAUUAGAUACC
rnacentral:rRNA from 1 species